rnacentral:lncRNA from 1 species
CACCAGGCCUCACCCAGAAGCACUGUGCCUAGGAAGGGCCCAGACCCUACUGUGACCUCUGAAGGGACCAGGCUACUCUGCAGGAGUCCGGUGGGUGGAGCGCUGUGAUGCAUGGUCAGGUCCUGUCUGCCAGCCAGUCAUUCCUGGGUGUGACCUGCACAGAGAGCAGGACCGGCCCCCACGGGCCUCUGCCACCUACGCAGCCCACAAGCGUGUGCUCCAGGAGCUGGGACACGCACGGCAGCCAGGGACCCGGAUGGAUGAGUCCCAGGCAGCCCCUUCCCCCGGACCUGUGUGUCAGGGUGCUGGUGCCACCCCACAGAUGCAGCUUCUCUGUACCUCAGGUAAGUCCUGGCUGGAGUCAAAGGUGGCCUCGGGCCUGGAGCACUUCCAGAAAGAUGGCCGGGUCUCAGGGAGCAGGUGAGGAGCACCAAGGGGUGGAUGCCUCUCCCCGCUCGCGCAGUGCUGGUGUGUCCUGAUGAGUCACGGUCCCGGUGCCCCACCGGUGCUGGCCGAUCGGGGAGCAGGGUCUGUCAGACACCCUGGGUCCACCAGGCUCCCUCUGGCCCUGGUGACCAGGCCACGAGCUCAGCUGACUAAGUUGUUCUGUCUGCUCAUCUGGUGUCCAAAUGUGAACCCCAGGCUCCAGGGCCAAGCACCUCAGAAAGCUCUCCUGGGCCUUGAGCUGCCUGCCCUGUGCCCAAGGGUGGGGCCAUGCUGGCAGUUGGGGGUGUGAGCUGGGGCCCCUUCUCACUGCCAACACGGCCAGGUAGGGCCACAGGGCUCUGUCCAGCACAGCACUGCCAUAUCUAGCAAAUGAAGAUACAGGUGAAACUGGAAUUUCCGCGAAACAAGGAAUUACAUUUUUUAUGUUUGUUUCUGACAUUAUAUGAGAAAAACUACCAGAAAAGUAUUAAUUAUUUGAAGUUCAAAUCCAAUGGGGUAUCCUGCAUCUUCCAGGCCUCCCCCUGGACCCCCACUGCCCACUCAGGCCAGGUUCCCUCUUGGUUUAGGAGCAUCCUCUCCUGGACUGGACUGGGACCUGCUCAGAAAUUUUCACAAUCAUUUCAAGGGAGGAAACAGAAUGUUUAAAAAGAAGAGCCAUAUGCUUAAAGGUUUUAACUUUCAGACCUUAAAGCGGCCAAGCUUGUGACCUGGAGUAGGGGCUUUUCUUUGACCAUCUAUUUCUUGGCCUGAACGGGGCAGGGGCCCAGCAGCGCAGGCCUUGAGCAUGGUGCCCCCUGGAGCCUACUCUUAGUAACACAUGGACCUGACGCCUACUUCUGGUUCCUCAGAGCCUAGAGCCCAGGGGAUCCCAGAAGGCACCCCACCAGGUCUUCUAGAUAUACACUGCAGUUCCUGUCCCUUAAAGUUGUCGCACCACAUCUGAUUUGGCCAUUUUCAGUGGGUCUUUCCAAGUCACUUUUCAUCCAAAAGUCUUUUCAUGUUCCUUACAUGUCAUGAUGUUUGACUAAGUAAUUUGAUUAAAACAGCAAGUAUGGUGGAAACCUGAGGGCUUGAGAACAAACAUGAUAUUAGGAGACGUCCCUUCCCCAGGGACCUAGGUCACUUCUUUCAGGGCUAUGGGGACAGAAGUUCAUGCUGGUUGGAGUGGAGGUGGUUGUCACUGUGUCCUGUGACUCAGCGGGGGCAGCAGGGUAGAUGGCUGAAAGGGGCUCUGGCUCACUGGGUGAAGGGGGACAGCUGCUCUGCCCACUGUGUGUCCAGUCUGCACACUCCCUGGCCUUGCCCACUGAGCCAGGAACCCAGGAACUCAGCAGGGCAGGGGGGCAUUGUUGCCUGCAGGGUGGGAUGGAGGAUGUGUCACUGAGUGCAGAGCUGGGGGACUGAGGUGGUGGUGAAGAUUGCAGGCCUGUGCCCAGCAGGGCAGGAGGUGGAGGCAGUGAGAGAGGC